CUAUUUUCCAAAAUUUGCACAUUGCUGGGUUGAAGCUUACCACUGCCACUUUCGAUUGUGUGGUGACUAAUCUACUACUUGCUUUGACAUUUAUAUUGGGCUUAUUAGUCUACGGCUUGAGAAACUUCCACAUGAUCAGCAUUGGCUAGCCAAAAUGGUGGGCAGAAUUGGUAAGUUGGAGUAUGAUACAGUGAGUUCGAGUGGACACAUCCAUUCUUGCGUUAUGAAGAAUUGGUAAGUCGAAGUAUGAUACAGGUAGAAAGUGUGAGUUUGAGUGUACACAUGUUAUCCCUUUUAAAAGGGAGCCGCCAACACCCUCAUACUGUCACUCAUGUACACAUUUAAUCCCUUUUACAAGGGAGAGGCCAACACCCUCAUACUCUCACUCAGGCCAGCAUUAAUAUAAUUAUGGGUGGCUGAAGGUUUUAUUGAAAAAAGAGCAUUAAUAUAGUUAUGGGUGGCUGAACGGUUUAUUGAAAUGAGAUAAUAGAAGAUGUGGCAGAGAACUACCUUGAAGAAUUGGUAAGUCGAAGUAUGACACAGGUAGAAAGUGUGAGUUCAAGUGGACACAUCCAUUCUUGUGUUAUGAAGAAUUGGUAAGUCGGAGUAUGAUACAGGUAGAAAGUGUGAGUUCGAGUGGACACAUCCAUUCUUGUGUUAUGAAGAAUUGGUAAGUCGGAGUAUGAUACAGGUAGAAAGUGUGAGUUCGAGUGGACACAUUCGAUCUCGUGUUAUGAAGAUUUGGUAAGUCGGAGUAUGAUACAGGUAGAAAGUGUGCGUUUGAGUCGACACAUCCAUUCCCUUGUUAUCCCUUUUAUAAGGGAGUGACCAACACCCUCAUACUUUCACUCAUGCAGCUAACUUAUACAGUAUGUUCGACCCUGAAGAUUACGAGAUCAGAGGAAUGACAUUAAUACAAUUAUGGGUGGCUGAAGGGUUUAUUGAAAAGAGAGAAUAGAAGAUGUGGCAGAGAACGACCUUGAAAAAUUGGUAGAAAGGGUUUAUUGAAAAAUUGGUAGAAAGGGUUUAAUACAAGUAUGGGUGGCUGAAGGGUUUAUUGAAAAGAGAGAAUAGAAGAUGUGGCAGAGGACGACCUUGAAAAAUUGGUAGAAAGGGUUUAUUGAAAAAUCGGUAGAAAGGGUUUAUUGAAAAAUCGGUAGAAAGGGUUUAUUGAAAAAUCGGUAGAAAGGGUUUAUUGAAAAAUUGGUAGAAAGGGUUUAUUGAAAAAUUGGUAGAAAGGGUUUAUUGAAAAAUUGGUCGAAAGGGUUUAUUGAAAAAUUGGUAGAAAGGGUUUAUUGAAAAGAGAGAAUAGAAGAUGUGGCAGAGGACGACCUUGAAAAAUUGGUAGAAAGGGUUUAUUGAAAAGAGAGAAUAGAAGAUGUGGCGGAAGGGUUUAUUGAAAAGAGAGGAUGGAAGAUGUGGCAGAGGACGACCUUGAAAAAUAGGUAGAAAGUGUGAGUUUGAGUGGACAUGUCCGUUCAUGUGUUAUGCAUGAUCUAUUGCAUGACAUGUGCUUAAGAAAAGCCAGGGAGCAGAACUUCGUGGGGGUAGUUGCAUGUAAGGAUAACAUGCCCUCUCAAAGGUCUCAACCUCUAUCCUUCUUUCAAGGUAUCGAUGACCAUGUUUCAUCCCAUAAAUCUCCUUCCAAAAUUUGUUCAUUCCUUUUUUUGUCACGACAUUCAAGAUCCCUAUCCAGUUCCAAACGCUGUUUAUACAAUGCUAAGUUAGUUCGUGUAUUGUUACUUGAGAAUAUUACACUUGAAUACUCACUAAAUGAAUUGGGAAGUUUAGCUCUUCUGAGUUGUUUGAGUUUUCAAGGUAGCGUUAUUUGUGGAGAGAUUCCAAAGUCCAUACGAGAUCUUCCACACUUGGAGGUGCUUGAUUUGAGAGUGGAAAGUUUUCAUUACCGUAGGACUUGGAAAUUCUUAAAUUCAAGUCGGAGCCUGGAGUUGCCAAGUUUGAGACACUUUUAUGUGUAUGGCAAUGUUAUACGUGUGCAACGAAUGCUUUUAAAGGCAGGGAGUUCGAGAUUCGUCCAGACAUUAUGGAGUGUAAUGGCUGGGUUCAUCUGAGAGGUGCUGUGCAAUUUCACGUAACUCAGGAUACUACAUAUUAUUAAUACGGAGGUAAAAGACAUUAGAGCGAUCUACAAGUCUGUUGCCCUGCUAAAAUGCUUGCGUUCUGCAUUUCUACAUGCAAAGGAUGAUUCCUUCGAAACAUUGCAGUUUCAAGCCCACCAAUGCCUUUUGAGAAAUUGGAAUUAUGGGGAAGGUUAGGAAAGCUACCAAGCUGGUCUGGGAGCCUUACAAGCCUUAACCAAGUUGGUUUUAUGGCAAAGUAAAUUGAAUGAGGAGGGUUUCUUGAAGUUCCAAGAUUUGCGGCAGCAGCUAAAAGAACUAUAUUUACUUGGCAAUGCAAUGCGUACGUGGGGAAGGAGAUGCAUUGCCUUGCUGGAGGCUCUCCUUGACUCCAACACUUGGAACUUUCAUUUUUAGGAGAGUUAGAGUGGGAGAGAUUGGUGGAAGGAUCCAUGCCAUGCCUUCAAUCUCUGGAGAUCACGGUUUGUUGCAAAUUGAGGGUGCUUCCAGAAGGGUUAGAGCACGCUUCUACCCUCAAAACGAGUGUAUUGUUCUCAGUUUUGUAAAGAAUUUAGUGGGAGUGUUAGUUAGA